UGGGGAAUAUUGCACAAUGGGCGCAAGCCUGAUGCAGCCAUGCUGCGUGUGUGAAGAAGGCCCUCGGGUUGUAAAGCACUUUCAGCGAGGAGGAAGGUGGUGAACUUAAUACGUUCAUCAAUUGACGUUACUCGCAGAAGAAGCACCGGCUAACUCCGUGCCAGCAGCCGCGGUAAUACGGAGGGGGCUAGCGUUGUUCGGAAUUACUGGGCGUAAAGCGAGUGUAGGCGGUUGCCGUAGUCAGGUGUGAAAGCCUUGAGCUCAACUCAAGAAAUGCACUUGAUACUGGGUGACUAGAGGACCGGAGAGGAUAGUGGAAUUCCCAGUGUAGUGGUGAAAUACGUAGAGAUUGGGAAGAACACCAGUGGCGAAGGCGGCUAUCUGGACGGUUACUGACGCUAAGACUCGAAAGCGUGGGGAGCAAACAGGAUUAGAUACCCUGGUAGUCCACGCCGUAAAACGAUGGGUGCUAGACGUUGGCGAGCUUGCUCGUCAGUGUCGCAGCUAACGCGUUAAGCA
rnacentral:rRNA from 1 species